UUUCCGUAGGUGAACCUGCGGAAGGAUCAUCACUGAGUGAGGGCCCCUCGGGGUCCAACCUCCCACCCGUGUUUAACGAACCUUGUUGCUUCGGCGGGCCCGCCUCACGGCCGCCGGGGGGCAUCUGCCCCCGGGCCCGCGCCCGCCGAAGCCACCUGUGAACGCUGUCUGAAGUAUGCAGUCUGAGACAAUUAUUAAAUUAAUUAAAACUUUCAACAACGGAUCUCUUGGUUCCG
rnacentral:misc_RNA from 1 species